UACGGAGGAUGCAAGCGUUAUCCGGAAUGAUUGGGCGUAAAGCGUCCGCAGGUGGCUGUGUAAGUCUGCUGUCAAAGAGCGAAGCUCAACUUCGUAAAGGCAGUGGAAACUACACGGCUAGAGUGCGUUCGGGGCAGAGGGAAUUCCUGGUGUAGCGGUGAAAUGCGUAGAUAUCAAGUGGAACACCAGUGGCGAAGGCGAGUCCCUGGACAACUCCUGACACUGAGGCACGAAAGCUAGGGGAGCAAACAGG
rnacentral:rRNA from 1 species